UCCUGGGGGACUAGUGGUUAGACUUUGGCGCUCUCACAGCCAUGGCCUGGGUUCAAUUCCCAGCCAGGGAA